rnacentral:rRNA from 1 species
CAGUAGCCGCGGGAAUACAGAGGGUGCGAGCGUUAAUCGGAUUUACUGGGCGUAAAGCGUGCGUAGGCGGCUAAUUGAGUCGGAUGUGAAAUCCCCGAGCUUAACUUGGGAAUUGCAUUCGAUACUGGUUAGCUAGAGUGUGGGAGAGGAUGGUAGAAUUCCAGGUGUAGCGGUGAAAUGCGUAGAGAUCUGGAGGAAUACCGAUGGCGAAGGCAGCCAUCUGGCCUAACACUGACGCUGAGGUACGAAAGCAUGGGGAGCAAACAGGAUUAGAUACCCGAGUAGUCCCUGUCUCUUAUAA